UACGGGGGGGGCAAGCGUUGUUCGGAAUUACUGGGCGUAAAGGGCUCGUAGGCGGCCAACUAAGUCAGACGUGAAAUCCCUCGGCUUAACCGGGGAACUGCAUCUGAUACUGGAUGGCUUGAGAUUGGGAGAGGGAUGCGGAAUUCCAGGUGUAGCGGUGAAAUGCGUAGAUAUCUGGAGGAACACCGGUGGCGAAGGCAGGUCUCUGGGCCAUAACUGACGCUGAGAAGCGAAAGCAUGGGGAGCGAACAGG
rnacentral:rRNA from 1 species